GGGUGAUCGGCCACAAGGGGACUGAGACACGGCCCUUACUCCUACGGGAGGCAGCAGUGGGGAAUAUUGGACAAUGGACUAAAAGUCUGAUCCAGCAAUUCUGUGUGCACGAUGAAGGUUUUCGGAUCGUAAAGUGCUUUCAGUAGGGAAGAAAAAGAUGACGGUACCUACAGAAGAAGCGACGGCUAAAUACGUGCCAGCAGCCGCGGUAAUACGUAUGUCGCAAGCGUUAUCCGGAAUUAUUGGGCGUAAAGCGCGUCUAGGCGGCCUUCUAAGUCUGAUGUUAAAAUGCGGGGCUCAACUCCGUAUUGCGUUGGAAACUGGAUGGCUAGAGUAUCAGAGAGGUGGGCGGAACUACAAGUGUAGAGGUGAAAUUCGUAGAUAUUUGUAGGAAUGCCGAUUGGGAAGCCAGCUCACUGGAUGAAUACUGACGCUAAAGCGCGAAAGCGUGGGGAGCAAACGGGAUUAGAUACCCCGGUAGUCCACGCCGUAAACGAUGAUCACUAAGUGUGGGGGGUCGAACCUCCGUGCUCAAGCUAACGCGAUAAGUGAUCCGCCUGGGGAGUACGCACGCAAGUGUGAAACUCAAAGGAAUUGACGGGGACCCGCACAAGCGGUGGAGCAUGUGGUUUAAUUCGACGCAACGCGAGGAACCUUACCAGCCCUUGACAUCCCAAGAACUUAGCAGAGAUGAUUUGGUGCCUUUUCGGAGGAACUUGGUGACAGGUGGUGCAUGGCUGUCGUCAGCUCGUGUCGUGAGAUAUUGGGUUAAGUCCCGCAACGAGCGCAACCCCUUUCGUAUGUUACCAUCAUUAAGUUGGGGACUCAUGCGAUACUGCCGGUGACAAACCGGAGGAAGGUGGGGAUGACGUCAAGUCAUCAUGCCCCUUAUGGGCUGGGCUACACACGUGCUACAAUGGGCGAUACAGAGAGUUGCGAUACCGCGAGGUGGAGCUGAUCUCAGAAAGUCGUUCUUAGUUCGGAUCGCAGUCUGCAACUCGACUGCGUGAAGUUGGAAUCGCUAGUAAUCGCGAAUCAGCAAUGUCGCGGUGAAUACGUUCUCGGGUCUUGUACACACCGCCCGUCACACCACGAGAGUUGGUUGCACCUGAAGUAGCAGGCCUAACCCGUUUACGGGAAGGAUGUUCCUAAGGUGUGAUUGGCGAUUGGGGUGAAGUCGUAACAAGGUAUCCGUACGGGAACGUGCGGAUG
rnacentral:rRNA from 1 species